rnacentral:rRNA from 1 species
AUGAUAUUAUUGAUGAUAUUGUGUUCAACAUGUGGAAGUGCCAGAACUGUUUAUCUAUGUUGCACCAUACAAGUUCGUGCACCAAGUAGGUCAGAUGUCGUCGUUGCUUUAAAUCGGGCCACAGAGCCAAGGGGUGUUCCGGCUCUGCGCCUUCCCCAGCUUUACAGGUGGGUCCCACGAGCCAAUUCGGUUUCUCUUGAACGGUCAGCGGAGAUAUACUCGCCCGGCGCCUCGGUUUCCACCCUGGGGUCUCUGCCCAGUCCUAUCACGCCUGCCACCCCAUCGCUUCCACCAUUGCCCGCAGAGCCACCGCCCAUCACGCCUCCGCCACCUACCUCAACGCUGCCGCCCACCACACCACCAGCUCCAUCGUCACCAACGCCCAGCUUGCCGCCAUCCUCCAGGGCUACAUCCUCGCCAACUGAGCUUGCUCCGAAUCCAACAAUGGCCACCUUUGCUCUAGACCCCACACCGUUCGUCCCGCAUGGUUUCGAGAUCAACGACGGUGGUCCGCGGCGACUCCUGCACACCUUCUACUCCCCUGUUGUGGCUCCCGAUCGUCAGCAUGAAGACUACGUCAUUGCCAUCGUUGAGCCUGCUCCUCUGCCUGAAGAAGCUCUCAUCUACAGAAAUAUGAUUGGCUGGGAUGAGUUACCACCACCAGAGCAUAACCAUGCGCCUCAGCACCAGGGUGCUCCACAUGAUGAGCCGCAUGAUGUGCAACAGGAGCUUGUGGAUGAGAAUCAAGUGGUUGUGGAUCAAUCACAAGAAUCGAUGGUUUUGCAAGUUUCGGAUGAUUCAGUUAAUAACCAGCCAGUGAAUGACAUGGUCAUUUUUCAGCAACCUGGGGCUCUCUUGCAGCCUCCUCUGCAUAUUGGACAGGUGCUCACUGUCUUUGGCCCUGUCCUGCCUCCUAACAUGCUGUGGAAGCGAUCAUUUGAGAAGAUGAUGCCCUCUCUCUGCUUUACUGAAAUUCCAAAGUUCAUGUUCAAGUCUGGAUUUGGGUCACUCUUGCUAUCUAACAAGUCUUGGGAUGUUUGCUUUACUGAAUAUGAUCUCAGCAUUGUUCUGCCACCCGUGCCUGCUUCUUCCAGCAUCAUUUGA